CUGCGUUUUCAGGCAGGUGUGCCGUGUAGUGGAGUGCCUGGCGGUGGUUCGUGGGGCCGGACCAGGACAGUGUUAGCGUCGUUGCAUAUCGAAAAGAAACUAGUGUUUGAAUAAUGUCACCUCUUUGGCGCAUGUCCCGAAGUUUUCUGUCUAAAAUUCCCAACAAACAAGCCCUUGUGUCUGGAUUAAGAUGUGUGUCCACAUCAAAGGACAAAAAAGAUAUAAUUGAUGCUGGUGUUACUACUGGUCCCAUUCAGGAGCCACACAGAGUAUCACUUACCCCAGAAGCUAAAAAAAAGUUGAGGGGAGAGGUCAAAACUGAUCAAUGGCAGAGCUUUGGCUGGAGCAUUGAGAGUGAAGCAGAAGAUAGAAGGCUGAUGCACUAUAUGUUCUUCAUCUCAAUUAGCUGUGGUGUUGUGCUAUGCAGCUUCAUCUGGGCAUAUUUGCCUGACCCUAGGGGCCUGGACUGGGCACAUCGGGAGGCAUUCCUGCAGAUCCACGCCCGUGAGUCUGCAGGCCUGCCGCUGCUUGACCCCAACCUGGUGGACCCGGCCAAGAUUGAGCUUCCGUCAGAUGAGGAGCUGGGAGACACGAGGAUCAUCAUCUAGACGACGGCGCCGCACCCCCGUAUUGUACAUAGUGACGCGCCGGGCCGCGCCGGUGUGUGAUUGAGGAACUCGGAGACCCCCGAGGUGGUGUGCUCCCAUGCCUGGUGAGAAAUAGAGUACUGUGGACAU